UCAAAAAUAGGUCUCAGUUCGGACUGUAGGCUGCAACUCGCCUACACGAAGUUGGAAUUGCUAGUAAUCGUGGAUCAGCAUGCCACGGUGAAUACGUUCCCGGGUCUUGUACACACCGCCCGUCACACCAUGGGAGCUGGUAACACCCGAAGUCAGUAGUCUAACCGCAAGGAGGACGCUGCCGAAGGUGGGAUUAGCGACUGGGGUGAAGUCGUAACAAGGUAUC
rnacentral:rRNA from 1 species